rnacentral:misc_RNA from 1 species
GAGUUUUCCGCGAGUCAUAAUGAGCUAACGGGAGAACUUCCAGACACAUUAGUGCAGCUAGGGCAGUUAGGAACCCUUGAUCUUAGUUUCAAUGAGCUAUCAGGGAAAAUCCCCUUGGGAAUUCACACAAUGAAGCAACUCAGUGAGCUUGACUUGGCAAACAAUGGAUUUUCUGGGGAAAUUCCGGAGCAAAUUGGGACUUUGCCAGUGCUUAAUUAUCUUGAUCUUUCUGGGAAUUACUUCUCAGGGGAAAUCCCACUUAGUCUGCAAAGCUUGAAGCUUAAUAAGCUAAAUUUGUCUAACAAUCAGCUGUCAGGGAUGAUUCCUGCAGUUUUUGAUAAGG